rnacentral:rRNA from 1 species
GUCCACAGCCAUGCUACCCUGAACAAGCCCGAUCCCGUCUGAUCUCGGAAGGUAAGCAGCACUGGGCCUGGUUAGUACUUGGAUGGGAGACCACCUAGGAAGAUCAGGUGCUGUAGGUA